GAUGAACGCUGGCGGCGUGCUUAACACAUGCAAGUCGAACGGAAAGGCCCAAGCUUGCUUGGGUACUCGAGUGGCGAACGGGUGAGUAACACGUGGGUGAUCUGCCCUGCACUUCGGGAUAAGCCUGGGAAACUGGGUCUAAUACCGGAUAGGACCACUUCUUGGAUGUUGUGGUGGAAAGUUUUUUCGGUGUGGGAUGAGCUCGCGGCCUAUCAGCUUGUUGGUGGGGUAAUGGCCUACCAAGGCGUCGACGGGUAGCCGGCCUGAGAGGGUGUACGGCCACAUUGGGACUGAGAUACGGCCCAGACUCCUACGGGAGGCAGCAGUGGGGAAUAUUGGGCAAUGGAGGAAACUCUGACCCAGCGACGCCGCGUGCGGGAUGAAGGCCUUCGGGUUGUAAACCGCUUUUGUCAGGGACGAUGAUGACGGUACCUGACGAAUAAGUCACGGCUAACUACGUGCCAGCAGCCGCCGUAACAC
rnacentral:rRNA from 1 species